UAGGAAUUGAUUACUGUUCAUAUUUUAGUGUUAGGCAUAGGUUACUCUUUGUAUUUUAGCAUUCGGCAUAGAUUGCUACUAACAACUGGAAGUAAACGCUGCUCAUUUGGUAAGCACACUGCUUACCUGCUUUAUGAGUGCAGUUGAGUACAAAUGAGUACAACUGCCGUGAGAACGUUUGAUGUUUGAUGACAUCUCCGAUUAUUUGAAUUUCAGCCUUGUGACUUUUCCGCUGCAGAAUAUCGAGGAACAGAGCCUGAGUGGCCGAGAAAUUGAGUUGGGACUCAGGAGAACAAUUUGUGACUGUCACAAACUUCCUGUGUGGCCAUUGCAGGUUGGUGUUGUACAGCACAGCAGCAGCACGGUUGGAAUACAUACACGGAGGUACGUGAAAUGUAUAACGUGAACUUGAAUAUUGUUAAGAUUAUUAUUGUUAAUUAUUAGUGUUAAUAAAACAGUCAUUGUGAAUGUGUGAUCAACUUGGGGGUAAGUUUAUUCUUGCCUGUUAAGCUUUUCCCUU
rnacentral:lncRNA from 1 species